CCUGAAUAGUACUGCGGAGGACAUUAUUGAUUUAUUAAUGAGGAGUUGAGUUGUAGCUGGCCUUUUAACAUUGGCAUGUGCACACUCUUCUCUUUCAUCCACACACCCCUGUGCACUUGUGAGACAGUCAAGGUCCUUUGGGGUUGGGGGGCAGAGCUUUAUUGCAAAACCCUUUUUCCCCUUUUGCCUUUGCUGUCUACUCAAUUUAUACACACUCUAAUUAAUUUUAAAACGAAUGUAAUUGAUGUAACGCAUCUAAUACUAAGUUUCAACAACGGAUCUCUUGGCUCUCGCAUCGAUGAAGAACGCAGCGAAAUGCGAUAAGUAAUGUGAAUUGCAGAAUUCAGUGAAUCAUCGAAUCUUUGAACGCACCUUGCGCUCCUUGGUAUUCCUUGGAGCAUGCCUGUUUGAGUAUCAUGAAAUCUUCAAAGCAAACCUUUUGUUAAUUCAAUCGGUCUCUUGCUUUGGUAUUGGAGGUCUUUGCAGCUUCACACCUGCUCCUCUUUGUUUAUUAGCUGGAUCUCAGUGUUAUGCUUGGUUCCACUCGGCGUGAUAAGUUAUCUAUCGCUGAGGACACCGUAAAAAAGUGGCCAAGGUAAAUGCAGACGAACCGCUUCUAAUAGUCCAUUGACUUGGACAAUUAAAUUUUUAUGAUCUGAUCUCAAAUCAGGUAGGACUACCCGCUGAACUUAAGCAUAUCAAAAAGCGGGGAGGAAAAGCAAACUGAAAACUAAACAAGGAUUCCCCUUGUUACCCUUUUUACUUCCA
rnacentral:sRNA from 1 species